GGGCAGCAGUGGGGAAUUUUGGACAAUGGGCGCAAGCCUGAUCCAGCCAUUCCGCGUGAGUGAAGAAGGCCUUCGGGUUGUAAAGCUCUUUCGCAAGGAAAGAAAACUUACCCUCUAACAUAGGGUGAGGUUGACGGUACCUUGAUAAGAAGCACCGGCUAACUACGUGCCAGCAGCCGCGGUAAUACGUAGGGUGCGAGCGUUAAUCGGAAUUACUGGGCGUAAAGCGUGCGCAGGCUGUUUUGUAAGUCAGAUGUGAAAUCCCUGGGCUCAACCUAGGAACUGCGUUUGAAACUACAAGACUAGAAUAUGUCAGAGGGGGGUAGAAUUCCACGUGUAGCAGUGAAAUGCGUAGAGAUGUGGAGGAAUACCAAUGGCGAAGGCAGCCCCCUGGGAUAAUAUUGACGCUCAUGCACGAAAGCGUGGGGAGCAAACAGGAUUAGAUACCCCGGUAGUC
rnacentral:rRNA from 1 species